UACGUAGGGUGCGAGCGUUAAUCGGAAUUACUGGGCGUAAAGCGUGCGCAGGCGGUUAUGCAAGACAGAGGUGAAAUCCCCGGGCUCAACCUGGGAACUGCCUUUGUGACUGCAUAGCUAGAGUACGGUAGAGGGGGAUGGAAUUCCGCGUGUAGCAGUGAAAUGCGUAGAUAUGCGGAGGAACACCGAUGGCGAAGGCAAUCCCCUGGACCUGUACUGACGCUCAUGCACGAAAGCGUGGGGAGCAAACAGG
rnacentral:rRNA from 1 species